AGCUGCAGCGCCAGCAACUACAAAGAACGAAGACGAGACAUUAGCAGCGUUAAAAAAAGAGAGAAGAAAAAUGCGAAAGUUCGAUCCAUGGCCCGUUUUCUUCAAGCGCGAGUGGAAACGCAACUGGCCCUUCCUCGUUGGAUUCGCAGUCACCGGAGCUCUAAUCACCAAACUUUCCCUUGGCCUUACCGAGGAAGAGGCUAAGAAUUCCAAAUUCGUUAAGGCGCACAAAAGGUGACUUCUGAAUCGUGACAUCUGCCUGGCUUUGCAUUUUAUGUUAGGUUUGUCAAGAUUACUUUGCUUGACUUGAUUUUAUGGAUUGUAAUAACAGAAGAGAGAUGCUCUAGAUAGUCUCUCCAAGUCUGUAUCCCAUGUUCUUAUUUUCAGUUUUGGAGGUUGUUUACCUAAAUCUGGUUGAGAGAAUCCACAAUAAGUUAGUAAUUUCUGAUUUAAAAAGUUAUUUCCUUCAUUGUUAAUACUUAUCCUUGAGUUUCUCGUGUUAUGCAUCCAGCAUAAUCUUGAGGAAAAUCGAUGUCUUUAAUGGUGUA